rnacentral:rRNA from 1 species
AACGCGAAGAACCUUACCAAGGCUUGACAUGCAGGGAAAAGCCGUAGAGAUAUGGUGUCCGUAAGGGUCCUGCACAGGUGGUGCAUGGCUGUCGUCAGCUCGUGUCGUGAGAUGUUGGGUUAAGUCCCGCAACGAGCGCAACCCUUAUCCUAUGUUGCCAGCGGAUUAUGCCGGGGACUCAUGGGAGACUGCCGGGGUCAACUCGGAGGAAGGUGGGGAUGAGGUCAAGUCAUCAUGCCCCUUAUGUCUUGGGCUGCAAACAUGCUACAAUGGCCGGUACAGAGGGCUGCGAGACCGUAAGGUGGAGCGAAUCUCAAAAAGCCGGUCUCAGUUCGGAUUGGGGUCUGCAACUCGACCCCAUGAAGUCGGAGUCGCUAGUAAUCGCGAAUCAGCAACGUCGCGGUGAAUACGUUCCCGGGCCUUGUA